UUCGCAUGCGGGUACUGACACUAGAAUGUAGAAUCUUUCUAGUAUUGUUGCAACAAAUAUAAGUGUGCUGAGGAUGACAAUAUUGCAUCUCAACUUUUAUUUUCGUUAUUAUAAAUAAAGAAAAAUAAUAUAACUGAAUGGUGGACGAGAAUCUUAGAACUAGUACUGUUGAAAGCCAUCAGUCGAGGUCCAGCCACGUCACGUGAGAGGACUGUGGCUAGCUAAGGUGGAGUGAGAUACUGAAGGUACUCAAAAUUGCAGAUUAAUUUAUGUUUUGUGACAGCACCAAAGUACCCGAGGAUCAUGAAGCAACGAAAGAAAGAGAGUAGCAAGCCUGACAGGAAGCCAUGAGCGUUGCCACGCCACCUCAAGACGAGAGGCAAGGUAGUGGUCGGGGUGUCACUGUGGCUCGCUCCCCCUCAUGGUGACCAGCAGCGGCAGUGUUCCAGAGGCGCCACUUAACAAUUUGUGGUAGCUGGGCGGCCGGCGUGCAGCAGGCGGCGCCACCUGACCUGUGUUGGGCCUGGAUGGUGAGGAUAGUGUCAUCAGCCUGCGCGGAUCACCGCCCCUGCCCCUCGUCUCCCAUUGAGUGAUGGCGGCUGGCAGUCAAGGUCCUCAAGGCGGCAGCGGAAGGGAAGGCGCCCCCCUUACCCCCAUGCCCUGCGGCCCACACUCCACCAGGAACGCACCGGGAUCUAACCACUGGGGACAGGCAGGAUGUGGCCAUGGGGAGACACUCAGGAUGUGGCCAUAGGGAGGCAGUCAGAAUGUGGCCAUGGGGGGACAGUCAAGAUGUGGCCAUGGGGAGAAAGGCAGGAUGUGGCCAUGGAGAGCCAGUCAGAAUGUGGCCAUGGGAGGACAAGCAGGUUGUGGCCAUGGGGAGACAAGGUAGGACGGAUGUGGAGCGUAACCAAUUAUAUCACCUGUAAGAUCAACUUGCAACCCGAAUUUCCACCAACUACUAUAGGCUCGAUUC